AUGCCUUUGCAGCUCUGGUUUGAAGUGUCUCUGCUGUGUCUGCAGACGUAUGAAUCAGAAAGCAGCUACAGCAGUGAGGAGAUGGAGCAGUUUCAGACCGAGGUGAAGCAGCUGCAGACUCAGAUGAAGCAGCUCAAGGUGAUGUUGAAGGAGAUGGAGCUCAGCAAGAAAAGUCUUGAAGAACAGCUGCAGAAGACUUCAGAGAAAGCUUGUCUGACUGUGGAGGAGAACGCCCGUCUGAAGAGCCGUCUGCAGGCAGCAGAGGCUGAGGUGGUACAGCGGCAGACCGGCGGUGCUGAGCAGGACUAUGAGGAGGUGAUCCAGCUGCUGGAGGCUGAAAUCGAAGACCUGAAGAACCAGCUGGCUGGUAGGAGACCGGGGCGUUUGCUGGACGCCACCAAGGAGAGCCCAAAGCAGGUGUGUGUGUGA
rnacentral:lncRNA from 1 species